GGGACCGUAGCUCAGAGGCAAGAGCGCCCGUAUGGCCGGCCAUACGGAGAGGACGGCGGGUCGCAAGCGCCCGGUUCCACCA
rnacentral:tRNA from 1 species